AGAGAACAGAAAGAAAAUCUGACUGUGCAAGAGCGAAGGGUGACACCGGGCGUGCAGCACCGACCUGAAGGCACCUCUUCAGGGGGAGCCCGAAAUUUGAAGAUUCUCUUUCCUGUCGGAGACUACAAACCAAAUAAAUAGAUUGUUACUUACAGGAGCCCAAAAACGUUACUUUGAAAAAUUAUCAAUUUACUGUGACAGAUAUGCUGAACAAAUUCCAGUAACCUUUGUGCUUGGGUUUUAUGUUACUCUGGUAGUGAACCGAUGGUGGAACCAGUUUGUGAAUUUGCCCUGGCCAGACAGGCUAAUGUUCCUCAUCUCCAGCAGUGUUCACGGAAGCGACGAGCACGGGCGCCUGCUUAGAAGGACGCUGAUGCGCUACGUCAAUCUCACCUCCCUGCUCAUCUUUCGCUCGGUGAGCACUGCUGUGUACAAAAGAUUUCCCACAAUGGACCACGUGGUUGAAGCAGAGUCUCACUAUGUUGCCUAUGCUGGUCUUGAACUCCUGGCCUCAAGCAAUCUUCCCACCAUAGCCUCCCAAAGGGCUGGGAUUUCUGGUGUGAGCCACCACACCUGGCCUUCCCUGGAAUCUUAAUGUAAAGAUUCUUGACUGUCUUCUAUGACUACAGGGAGCCUGAUGAGACUCCACUGGAAUUUUCAGUGACACUUAU
rnacentral:sRNA from 1 species